rnacentral:lncRNA from 1 species
GAGCGCGUGUGUGUCUGGUUUAAUUGAAGGUCCCCUACUGGUCCCAACUCCAUAAGUAGCUGCAAUGGUGAGAAAAGGGGAGGGGAACCCACCCCCAAAGGGAGGGGUCAUCUCCCCAACAUUCCCUUUACACACAGAACGAAACAGACGAGCACAGGAGUUCCCAUCAUAGCUCAGCGGAAACAAAUCCAACUAGGAACCAUGAGGUUGUGGGUUCGAUCCCUGGUCUUGCUCAGUGCGUUAAGGAUCCGGCAUUGCCAUGAGCUGUGGUGUAGGUUGAAGAUGCGGCUGGAAUCUGGCAUGGCUGUGGCUGUGGUAUAGGCCAGGGGCUACAGCUCCGAUUAGACCCCUCACCUGGGAACCUCCAUGUGCCAUGAGUGCAGCCCUAAAAACAAAACAAAACAAAACAGACAGACAAGCCCCGAGUCACUCUUGUGGUUAGAAGUCAGCCAUAAUGGAAGGGGGAGGGACAAGCGGAGAGCAGGGGGUGUACCUGAAAAAGACCGACCCACAGACCGCCCCCUCCCCUGAACUGCACUGCUGGAGGCACUUGGGUCUGCCUCAACUCAAGGGGAGUCAGGAUAUCCAAAGUGGUUGAGGAAGGUCAGGCCAUCAGGGAUGGAGGCAGGAGGAAGGUCCACGAGGUGGGGGCUGUUUGUGCUCCGCCGGCUGGAAUCCCCCAAAUCCUUCAGGCCAGGAAAGGGCCAAUCUGUAGCUCCAGUGAAUAGGUCUGGUGCUGCCAGAUGCUCCAGGCAGGGAGCUAGAAGGGGGCCAACAAAGCCUGCUCUCUAGGGAGAAAUGACGCUGCCCCCAGCUUCUCAACCAGGGUGCAGCGGUCCUUGAGCUCUACAGUUGGCUUGUAGUGCAAACUUGAUCCCCUUAAGCUUCUUCUUGCAGGUGUCCUUGGAGCUGGCAGAGAUCAUUUUGCUCUGAAGACUACAGACUGGCAGGAGAGCAUCACCUUCUUUCAAGGCUUCGCCUCCUCUGGUGUCGACAGCUUGUGCACCAGCAUGUCAUUGAAGCCACAUUUGCAGAAGAGAGCGCAAUGAGCAGAGCCAGAGCUGAGGGCUGCCUCCCUGCUGCAGGGAUCCUCCUCAGGCCAGGACGGCUUUCAAUCACUCUACCCCUGGACCAGGAAAGCAAGCACCAUGUCUACCCCAGGACAUGGUUCCUUUCAGUUCUGACAUGACUUUUUCUGGAGUCAUUAAAAAUACCAAAUGUGGUUCAAUGCAGCAGUACAGUCAAUGGCAACUGCAUUCCUCUGGUUGCUCAAGGCGAGACCUGGGAACCCUUCUUGACUCCUUCAUUCCCUCACUCCACCCCACAUCCAAUCCAUCAUCCAACCCUGUGAGCACUACUGCAAAAUACCCCUGGAAUCUGACCCCGUCUCACUUCAUCCACAGUGUCCGCUGGGGCUAAGUUAUCCUCAUCUUCCAUCAAAAUACUUCAAUGGUCUCCAACCCGGUCUCCUCCUACUUGCUGCUCUAUCAUCUCAUCUACAGAGAAGCCAGAGUGAUCUUUUCAAAAUAGUAAGUUAUAUCAUGUCACCCCUCAGCUCAAAAAUCCUCCAGUGGUUCCCCUAUCACGCCAAAGAAAAGGCAAAAGACCUAACAAUUGCUGAGGUGACCCUACAUAUUCCAGCUUGUCACCUCUUCAGUCUCAUCCCCUACCUCUCUCCCCUGACUCACUCUGCUUCAGCCAGACUGGCUUCUUGCUGCAUCCCCAAAACAUCGGGUAUGCCUGUGUCUUAAGGCUUACAUAGGUGCUAUUCCCUCAGCCUGCCAUCCCCUUCGUGCCAAUAUCUUCUUCGUUCAUUCCCUUUGUCCAAAAGUAAUGUUAUCAGAGAGAAGUUGCAUAACCAUCCUCAUGAAAAUAUACCUAGUCUAUCUUUAAGGAACUGACUUUGCUUUAUUUUUCAUAGCACUUACCAUUACCUAAACUAUUUAAGCAUUUGUUUACACAUCAAUUUUUUCCCCUCCUAGAAUAAAAGUUCUAUGAUAGAAAGGUUGUACACCCCAUAGCCCCAAUAUCUAGAACAGUAAAGGCAUUCAAUGAAUAGUUAAUGAAAAUGAAUGAAAGAUUUUGAACAAAUACAUACAAGAGGAAGUGGUUAAUAACAGAUGAAAAAGUGUCCAAACUUUCCAAUAAGAAAAGAAACUGACCAAUUUCUCGUUGACCAAGAGAAUAUCUUUGCCUAUUAAAUUGACGACUGCAACCAAAUAAUCAAUCCAUUGCUUUGAUAAAGCAAUACAACUGGUGUUUUCAUUUAUUAUUAGCAACCAGUCUCACUGAUGUACUUAAUAGAUAUUUAUUGAGUGCUACUAUGUAUGAGCCAUUGGGUAAUUUUCCAAUACUCUAAUCCACCAUAAGGUUCAAAGUCUAUGUGUUUGUCCAGAUCAGCUAGGUUAGCCGUGGUAACAAAUUAACUCUGGAAUCCAGUAGACCACCAUCACAAAGCUUCACUCUUGCUCACUCAAACCACCUCCCUCAGAUUGAUGGAAAGGUAGUAUUACCAUGGCCCUUCCCCUCACAUUGCUUUGCCCAGAACUAGUCACACAGCCCUACCCACCUGCCCAGAGGCCAAGAAAGGACGUUUUCUGCAUGUCCCAACAUGGAUGGACCUGGAAGGUAUUAUGCUAAGUGAAAUAAGUCAGUGAAAAACAAAUGCCAGGCGUUCCCAUCAUGGCUCAGUGGUUAGUGAACCUGACUAGCCUCCACGAGGACACAGGUUCGAUCCCUGGCCUCGCUCAGUGGAUUAAGGAUCCGGCCUUGCUGUCAGCUGUGGUGUAGGUCACAGACAUGGCUCGGAUCCCAAGUUGCUGUAGCUGUGGUGUAAGCCGACAGCUACAGCUUCGACUGGACCCCUAGCCUGGGAACCUCGGGUGCGGCCCAAAAGACAAAAAAAAAAAAAAAAAAAAAAAAAAAAAAGACAAAUACCAUAUGGUCUCACUUAUAAGCAGAAUCUAAAAAACAAAACAAACAAAAUGAAAAUGGUCUCAGAGAUAAAGAGGAAAAACUGGUGGUUGUCGGAGGGAAGGGGUGGAGGUUGAAUAAGUGAAGGUAAUUAAGAAAUACAAAUCUCCAAUGGUCAAAUAAAUAAGCCUUGGGAAUGUAACACAUGGCAAAAAGAAUAUGGUCAAUAAUGUUGUAAUGACUUUGCACGGGGUUACUGGACUUUGCAUGGUUACUAGACUUAUGAUGGAGAGCAUAAGGCAUGUAAACACCCAAUCACUCAGUAGGAUACCCGAAAUGAGCAUAAUACUGUAUGUCAACCAUAUUUCAGUAGAAACAAAUGAAUAUAUAAAGAAGGUAAAAAUUAAGAGAAAGUAACCCACAAGAAAAUAUGUGCUUCCCCAUGUAGGCACGGCUACCCUGAAGGACCGUAACAUCUCCAAGCAGUUUAGGACCUUUCGCUGGGAGAUGCCACCGCCCCAUUGAAAGCCCCUGACCUUCCCUCUCCGGGCUGCCUUCCUCCCUCUGAUCUCAGCACCAGCCCCCCUACACUGCACUCACUCGGCUCCAGCCACGCUGGUUUUCCCUCCUGUUCCUGGACCAGACCGCACAAGGCGCAUUUCCACCUGGGGUCUUUGCCGCUGCCCUCUUCCUUCAGGGAGCCACGGAGCUCCCUCCCUCCGUCUUUGCUCAUACGUCUCCCUCCCUCUCUCAGUAGGGCCACCCCCCACCACCGUCUUUAAAACACCCACCUCUCUCCCCAGACGGCACUCCUGCUGCUCCCGUCCGCCCUACACACGCCCCGCUCACUUUUCUCCAUGUCACUUCUUAUCUGACAUACGAGGUGUUUUGUUUAUGUGAUAUCAUCUGUGCCUACUCCAUGAAAUCACAAAGAUUUUGUACUUUUAAAAUUGAAGUUUGGUCGAUUUCCAACGUCGUGCCAAUUUCUGCUAUACCGCAAAGUGACCCAGUCAUACAUACAUAUGCCUUCUUUUCCACAUAUCUUUCCCUAUCAUGUUCUAUCCCAAGAGACUGGACACAGUUCUCUGUGCUUGGGUGCUCCAUAAAUAUUUAUCACGCAAGCAAUGAAUGAGGGGUCUGUAUUGAGCGACUGAAUGAAUUUCUGCAGACACUUAGCCAUCACAGCAUUGUUCCUAAAUGAAGCACUUGCCUCUCCUCCUCCCCACCCCCCCAUACCUCCCUCCUCCCUAAAAUUUCUCCUCUCCCACACGCUUUCCCCUAGAUACUUUCUCCAUCCAUCAGCCUAAUGCUUGCUCUGGCUUCGUCCAACCUUGGCAUCCCAUCUGGAUUACGGAUUUGGGUCACUCCUGAUAUAGUCACACUGUGACCGCUUUCUGGCAACGCCCAUCUUGUCCUGCUUUUCACCCUCUGCCCUGUCUCCUUCUCCUUCACCUUCCCAAACACUCCCCAGCUCUGUCCACAAACGUACUUCCCCUCAUAUGCCCAUCCUUCAAGGGUAGGUUCAAACGCCUUCUUCUUCCUCAAGGCUGCCUGAUCCACCAUCCGGAAGUUAGUCUCAUGCUCCAGAGACCCCAUCGUUAUUUGUAACACUUGUGCCCACGUUAUAGCCUUUGCCGCGUAAAAGCUUGUGUUCACCUUAUCCAAGAGUUUAAGUUAAGGGCAGAGAGUAAGUCUUGUUUGUCUAUUGCUUCUCCCAUAGUACAUGAAAGAUGCUCGAUGAAUAUGAAAUGAGAUCAUGUACGUCAAGCCCUUAUUAUGGUUCCUGGCGGAUGACGAAUGUUCAGUCACUGCUGGCUGCUGAUUCCAGUUCGUAGCCAAGGGAGGCAGAGUUCAGUUCCACUCAGAGGAGAGCUUCCACAUUUGAGGUCCACCAGGUGGGUGCUGAGAGGCUGUGAUGGGUCUGGUUCCUUAUUUCUCACUCCCUGUGUCUCUUCCCACCUGUAGCAAGUGCCCCAUGUUCCCUGGCCCAUCUGAGCUCCCCACAGCUGCAGACAGCUUCUGGGCCAGCUGACAGCUUCCCAUCUCACGUGCUUACAGAUGUCUUCCACACCCGUCACAGGGGCUUGCUCGGCUAUUUGUAUAUACAACCCAUAGAUGGGGGAGGGGGUGCUUAAUGCUCCUGGGGCCAACCAUCAACCAACACAGAGGGGAGUUGUUGGGGAAACGGUCAAGACUUUUUGACCCCCAGUGGGACAAUUCGGAAGCACGUUCAUCCACCUUGUUUCCAGAAGGUCCUAUCUGGGAUGGAUUCCCUAUUACCCUCAACAGUAAUGUGCUUUUGGGUUUCCUCUCUUCCCCGACUUACCUCCCCCGCAUCUUUAAUGGCGUCUUCUGGGAUAACUCCCCAAAACUACAUUCUCUCGAGUCCUGCUGUGGGAGACCCAUCACUACUCAACAUUUCUGAAGAAAUGGCUGCCCAGCCCAUUAUCUGACAAAGCCCUAAAUGCCUCCCAUCGUUACACGCCAUCCCUGUGGUCUAUCAGCUCACUGGCCCCAGACACAUCAAUGAUGGCUGAGGGGUGAGGAAUCCUUGGGUUAUCUGCAAAGACAAAGAGUUGAACCGGGAGGUACCUGUCGAUUUUAUCAUAGGGUUGCCUCUCUCCUUAUAGAAAUUGUCCCUAGGAAAUGGUACAGUGACCUACCCCUCUCACUGUCAGAUGUGAUCAAGCCCUUAGAUCUCUGCAAAGAGCUACCCCUACCUUGUGGAGACCACCAUGCUGUGAAGACACAAAGGACUCCCUGCUUUGUGGCUCAGUUUUCUUGGUGUUGUACGUGUUUGUCAAAGAGGCUGUCACGCAGAUGGCCAAAAAGCACGUGAAAAGAUGCUCAACAUCGCUAAUUACUGGAAACAUGCAAAUGAAAACUACAAGGAAGUAUCAUCUCACACCAGUCAGAAUGGCCAUCAUCAAAGUCUACAGACAAUAAAUGCUGGAGAGAGUGUGGAGAAAAGGGAACCUUCCUACACUGUUGGUGGGAAUGUAAAUUGGAGCAACCACUAUGGAAAACAAUAUGGAG